GGCCGUUGUCGUGCCAGGCAGGGCUGCUUGCGACUCUGUUUCUAGCUGUUUUCCUGCAUUCUCAUACCUCGCAUUCCUUCACUUAUCUUCUUUCCUGCAUUCUCAUACCUCGCAUUCCUUCACUUAUCUUCUUUCCUGCAUUCUCAUACCUCGCAUUCCUUCACUUAUCUUCUUUCCUGCAUUCUCAUACCUCGCAUUCCUUCACUUAUCUUCUCAGAGCGCCGGUUUGGCUGUGGGAACGGAAGCCGGCAGCUGCGGGGUCACGGGGUCUCUGCAUCCAUUCCGAACUUGAG
rnacentral:lncRNA from 1 species